AGCUGUAGCAGUAAUGUGAAGGAAACGAUAAAUAAUACUUAUUCUGAUAAUAUGUAUAAUGGUAUAGUAACAAAUAGUUCAACAAUAUAUUAUUUUUUUAAGUACAAGGACUGUCACCGAAAAGUAAUUCAUUUUUGGUAUGUGUUUACUUUUUUAUCUGACUUUAUUUAAAUGUGAAACCAGAAGUUACCGUUUAUCAGGUCAUAUUUAAACUCUAUCUUAGUUCAUUGCUUAUAUUGUGUACACAACUCGGACUGUAACUUGAGUGAACGAAAAUCUUUAACUCUAUCGUUUUGGACCAUUUGAACAACCGUUAAGUGUCCAAACUGGGGAUACUAAUAUGGCCUUUAUUAGUUGCAACCCAUGUGAAUAAAUUAAGUGCUGGUAUACGAGGUCGAAUAGUUAUUUUGUACCUUGAGCUUUUUGUUCAUGGAUUCAGUUUUCUCAAUAGAGAUUCCCGUUAACACGUUUUCGGACUGUUUCAUCGGUGUUAUGUAAAGUAUAUUACGACCUUGCUCUUUGUGCGUGAUUAUUAAACAAGUAUUCGGCGUGAAAGCUGUGGUUUUAUUUAAGAAGACCUCGGAUUAACAUAUAACUAAAUUGUGAUUAGAGGAAGAAAAUGAAGAGUUUUCCAUUCGUGUUAGGAAGUCUCAUGAUUGUUUUACUCUGCCUGUUAGUGUUUCAAGUGAUAAAUUCUCACAGCAGUAUGUCGGACAGUGAUAUACUUAUUCCACCCGUCCAGUCGCGACGCAUGAGUCAACAAGAAAAUGCCACAAACUCGAAAACAUACGACGUUAAUAAUGCUCCAGAUACCACAAAUUUCCCAGCGGGUCAGAGAAAUCAAACGGACGUCAUGAUUUUAAUACACGUGCUUGGUGAUCUUGUGAAGAAGACGUGAACAUGUGGUUUAAUUAAUGCUGACAAUAACCAUCAAAAUCAAAUCGUAUUGACCAACAUCUCAACUUCCUGAAAGAUAAUGAAGUGGUGUCUAGUAGAGCCCUCGUCAAUUCACGCCGCCAUUACAGACUGUGCGAUUUUAGACAAUCAUUAAUUUGCUCUUUAUAUUAUUUCUAGGUUUUUAUAAAGUUGCGUUUUAUUCUUCUUUCUUUUAGUUUUUGUCUGAAUUUAUCAAUAGUUGGUUAAAAUCAAUUAAAAUAUUAUUGCAACUGA